rnacentral:tRNA from 1 species
GGUGGCUCAGUGGUAGAGUGCUUGCCUACCAUGCAUGAGGUCUGGGUUCGAUUCCUCAGCACCA